rnacentral:rRNA from 1 species
GAGUUUGAUCAUGGCUCAGGAUGAACGCUGGCGGCGUGCCUAACACAUGCAAGUCGAGCGGGAAGGGGAGAGACGGAGACUUCGGUUGAAGUUUCUUCCCGGAUAGCGGCGGACGGGUGAGUAACGCGUGGGUAACCUGCCUUCUACAGAGGGAUAGCCACUGGAAACGGUGAUUAAUACCUCAUGACACUGCCGGGGCGCAUGCUCUGACAGUCAAAGAUUUUAUCGGUAGAAGAUGGACCCGCGUCUGAUUAGCUGGUUGGUGAGGUAACGGCUCACCAAGGCGACGAUCAGUAGCCGGCCUGAGAGGGUGAACGGCCACACUGGAACUGAGACACGGUCCAGACUCCUACGGGAGGCAGCAGUGGGGAAUAUUCGGCAAUGGGGGGAACCCUGACCGAGCAACGCCGCGUGAAUGAUGAAGGCCUUCGGGUUGUAAAGUUCUGUCAUUCGGGAAGAUCGUGACGUACCGAAUGAGGAGCCCCG